GACGACAUUGCGAUUCAUGAAGUACGAGCAACGGCCAGCGGCUAGCAACUAGCUGAGCACUCGCUUCACCGCUUUCGAACAUGACGGUACUGCGUGCUUUUUGAAAAAUUCGAUCUUGUUUGCCGUUGAAAUUGUUCGUUUGUCUAAAAUGUACGCCGCUUAUUGAUCAUGUUAUCGCCGGUCGAUACAGAAUCCGAUUAAAAAAUAUGGACACCAUCAUGGCUGUAUUGAGGUCCACAUGUACUCUAAAUAACAUUGCAAUCGUGUUUAAAGAAUCAACAACAAAUUUGGAUACAGAAGAAAACUUAGAUUUUAAAUUAUUGAUUUAUAAUGCUAACCACAGAAUAGAUUAAAUGUGCUAACAACAUAAAUGGGUUUGACGAGCAAUAAUAUGAAGAUGAUGUAAACGGGGUUACUCAAAGAGCUCAGAUGAUCAACAAUUAUUUUGGGCGAUUAUAAAUUAGAAUUUAUUGGAAACUUUGUGCACUCCAUUUUGACAAAGAUUAUUUCAAAGCUGAAACUUAACUGAACAUUUUAAAACCAAAUUUAGUUCCCACAAAGUUUGAAAAAUGAUGAAAAGAAUCUUUUGAAUCAACAUAUGUCCUUGAGUAAAAUGCCCGAGUUACUGACAUACCAAAUUUGCGAGCAGCCUGCUUCAACAUAAAACAGUGAAAUGGACACUUUUCAAAUGAAUGGUUGUUAAAAAAACCUAUAAUGGAAUGGAUUAACCUAUUAUAAAACUUAAAGAUACUCCUAACCGAAAGCCGCGGAAAUAUUUUUUAGGCGAUAGAACUAUUCCAGAUUUUGCCUCUGAGAAAAGCUCAGUAUCAAAGUAUUCAAUGAUGAAGAAAAUUAAAUAUUUAAAUUUAAAAGUAAGCAGACUCCGCAAAAAGACUUUCAUCUAUGGCAGAUUAAAUUAACCAAAUGAAGAAAAAAAAUCUCCUAACUGAACAAUUUAAAUAAUACCAUUUUGGUAGAUUUCAAUGGAAAUAUGAAUGGUAGCGACUAGCGAGUUGGAAGUGUAAGUUACUAAAUAAUGUUUAAGGGGCCAGUAUUAAUUUGUUAAAUCCUCUGUGAUUGUUUAUAAAUGUUAUGAUAAAUAACUAUUUGUUGAUCAGUGUAUCAAUAUAUUUUAAAACAUAAUAUAAUUUUUUAUUUUUAAAAUCUUGUUGUGAUGUGUUUAAUUAUGUAUAAUUGUGUUAUAAUGUGUGUUAGCUUUGAUAAUUUAGUCUACAAAUAUGUCUUACUAAUAUAAUACUAAAUUAAUUUGUAAUUAAUAUAAAUACAUUAAUACCUAUUUAUAUAAGUACCUAUUUUAUAAAGUACAGGAUUAAGUAUACUAAAAAUGGUUAAAAUUAAUAUUUUAACAGACUAUAGACAGCAACACUAUAUUUGGAAUAUAAAGUGCUAACUUCUGCUCUAAUAGAAUUAAAUGUAUGUUUUUGAUGUCAAAAAAUAAAAAUAAUAAUUCAGCAACUAACGCUAUUGUUUUCCCACAUUUGUAUACAACAUUUAUGUACAAGCUUAGAUUAGAUUUUUUUU